rnacentral:rRNA from 1 species
GACGAACGCUGGCGGCGUGCUUAACACAUGCAAGUCGAACGGAUAGGCCCUGCUUUUGUGGGGUGCUCGAGUGGCGAACGGGUGAGUAACACGUGAGUAACCUGCCCUUGACUUUGGGAUAACUUCAGGAAACUGGGGCUAAUACCGGAUAGGAGCUCCUGCUGCAUGGUGGGGGUUGGAAAGUUUCGGCGGUUGGGGAUGGACUCGCGGCUUAUCAGCUUGUUGGUGGGGGAGUGGCUUACCAAGGCUUUGACGGGUAGCCGGCCUGAGAGGGUGACCGGCCACAUUGGGACUGAGGUACGGCCCAGACUCCUACGGGAGGCAGCAGUGGGGAAUAUUGCACAAUGGGCGGAAGCCUGAUGCAGCAACGCCGCGUGCGGGAUGACGGCCUUCGGGUUGUAAACCGCUUUCGCCUGUGACGAAGCGUGAGUGACGGUAAUGGGUAAAGAAGCACCGGCUAACUACGUG